GCGACCGUAGUCUAGCGGUAGGAUAUCGGCUUCCCGAGCCGAGGACCCGGGUUCAAAUCCCGGCGGUCGCA
rnacentral:tRNA from 2 species